rnacentral:piRNA from 1 species
UAAUAAUACGAUAAUCAAUGA